AUAAAGUUGGCAGAAAUAUGUAAAUAAUUUAGGGUUAUUUUAUGAAAGAUAAUACUUUUACUUUAU
rnacentral:tRNA from 1 species